rnacentral:rRNA from 1 species
UACGGAGGGUGCAAGCGUUAUCCGGAUUCACUGGGUUUAAAGGGUGCGUAGGCGGACUUACAAGUCAGUGGUGAAAUCUCCCCGCUCAACGGGGAAACUGCCAUUGAAACUAUUUGUCUUGAGUACAUUUGAGGCGGGCGGAAUGUGUCAUGUAGAGGUGAAAUUCUUAGAUAUGACACAGAACACCAAUUGCGUAGGCAGCUCACUAAACUGUAACUGACGCUGAGGCACGAAAGCGUGGGGAGCAAACAGG